rnacentral:rRNA from 1 species
GAUGAACGCUGGCGGCGUGCCUAAUACAUGCAAGUCGAGCGAACGGACGAGAAGCUUGCUCCUCUUAUGUUAGCGACGGACGGGUGAGUAACACGUGGAUAACCUACCUAUAAGACUGGGAUAACUUCGGGAAACCGCAGCCACUACCGGAUAAUAUUUUGAACCGCAUGGUUCAAAAGUGAAAGACGGUCUUGCUGUCACUUAUAGAUGGAUCCGCGCUGCAUUAGCUAGUUGGUAAGGUAACGGCUUACCAAGGCAACGAUGCAUAGCCGACCUGAGAGGGUGAUCAGCCACACUGGAACUGAGACACGGUCCAGACUCCUACGGGAGGCAGCAGUAGGGAAUCUUCCGCAAUGGGCGAAAGCCUGACGGAGCCACGCCGCGUGAGUGAUGAAGGUCUUCGGAUUGUAAACCACUUUUGUUAGGAAAGAACAUAUGUGUAAGUAACUGUGCACAUUUUGACGGUACCUAAUGAGAAAGCCACGGCUAACUACGUG